rnacentral:rRNA from 1 species
UAGGGAAUCUUCGGCAAUGGGGGGAACCCUGACCGAGCAACGCCGCGUGAGUGAAGAAGGUUUUCGGAUCGUAAAGCUCUGUUGUUAAGGAAGAACGAGUGUGAGAAUGGAAAGUUCAUACUGUGACGGUACUUAACCAGAAAGGGACGGCUAACUACGUGCCAGCAGCCGCGGUAAUACGUAGGUCCCGAGCGUUGUCCGGAUUUAUUGGGCGUAAAGCGAGCGCAGGCGGUUAGAUAAGUCUGAAGUUAAAGGCAGUGGCUCAACCAUUGUAGGCUUUGGAAACUGUUUAACUUGAGUGCAGAAGGGGAGAGUGGAAUUCCAGGUGUAGCGGUGAAAUGCGUAGAUAUAUGGAGGAACACCAGUGGCGAAGGCGACUCUCUGGUCUGUAACUGACGCUGGGGCUCGAAAGCGUGGGUAGCAAACAGG